UGUGUCUACAGCCUCUCCAAGAACAACCUCAGUCUCUCUGAUGCUGGGACUUACUACUGCUGUGUCUACAUGCGGGGAGAUCCUGUUUGGUGAAGGAACAAAACUUAACAUCAUUAAAGGAAGCACAGUGGAUCCCAUUGUCCUCAGCUUGGGAGUAGCAGUGGCUGUGUGUGUGAUUGUAAUUUUCAUUCUUGCUUGUACCAAAAACAAGAGACAAACAUGUUAUCAUUGUAAAGCAAGUGUCUCUCAGCAUAUUCACCAUGAUGAUAACCUCUCAUCAGAGCAGUCAAGUGGUCAGUGCCAAAGACAUCUCUGUUAAAUUACCCUGCAUUGCAUUUCUCUGAGAAGAAAACUAAAAGAGGAAGAAAGAAGAGAGAGACCACAGGAGAGUGUGUACUCUGAUGUCAGGUACUCGAACUGGGACUGAACUUUGUUUCAGAUACAGCAUGGACAAAAUUAUGUCAGUCAAGCAUCAA
ensembl:lncRNA